UCAGAAGAUUGAUUCUAAAUCAGGUCAUGUGGUUAUGAGUAACAUUGCAAAGACCAUUCAACAUCUUUCAGAUAGAAACUAGAUUAUGGCCACAAAUAUGACCAUCAGAGGUUCCUCAAUGGGCAACUCAGGGCUCUGGCUUCUUACUCAGAAGACCAAACAAUAUCAACAUGAAACUACAGCAGGGUGGAUCUGGAGUGAACUCAGCAAUGUACCGAAACCAAGAACACAGAAACAACUGCUUCUUCCAGCCACUUGACGUACCACCCAGAAGGCAAUGUGGAAAGGAGGAAAGAGUGAAGAUUUUAAAGUCAGACAAGCCUGGGUCUGUCAUCCAAUUAUUAUAUGCCCGUGGGUCUUUUUUUAAAACUUACUUCACAGAGUGGUGGAGAUUUAAUGACAUAAUAAAUGAGUAAUUUCAGCUACUCCCAGAAGCUUUCCAUGUUGGACUUCUCCACAUAUAUCUUUAGUUGGGAUCUCUCUGCUGGAUCCUGAGCUCCUUGUUGUCCCAGCCUGGAUCACUCAAAAGCCUAUUAGAGGGAAUGUAGCUAGCUAACAGUAAGUUAAUCAUUCAUUAUUACUGGCACUGCCCAUACUCACUCCCCAAUGGCCCCCCAUACACCAAGUUUGAUCCUUCUCAUUGAGCCUCUCACCUCAGGGAGAGGUAUCACCCACCACAUUGCCCAAGCCAGAAACCCAGGAGUCCUCCUUGAUGUCUACUCAUUCCUGACCCUACACAUCAGCUUCUUUAGAAUCUCUAUUUGUCCACACUCCCCUAAGCUCAAGUCCUGCACAUUAGUUUAGGCCUUCCUCUCCGCUCCCCGCCUCCCCCGCCCUCCCCAGGUCACUGCAGUAGCCUCCUCUGACUGGCUUCUCCUCUUUUACUUUCACUCCAGUGCAGCCUCUGUGACUUUCCUGUUUACAGUUAAUGACUUCUGCUGAAGGAGAAAGCCAGAGUUCCUUUACAUGAUCUGAUCUCUGCUUCCUUCUUACCCUUCUCCCAACCUCCCACACCUACACUAAGUUAAGCGCACUUCUAAGCAUCACUGCUCUCUCCUUGGCUUCCAAAUCUUCAAACACAAUCCUUCCUCUACUUGGUACUCCAAUCUCUGUUUUUCAUGGGGCAAAAUACUAUUCAACCUUCUGGACUAGGGUGGCAAGUUCCUCUGAGAAACUUUGUCCAAUCCCCAACCCCCUGAGUAAGGUGCUUUGCCUCUGUACUCCCAGAGAGCCUCAUACCUCACUUCUUUUAACGAAAUGCUCUUACUCUGUAAUGUAAUUGUUUUUAAGAUUUUAUUUAAUUAUUUGACAGAGAGAGGGAGCAUAAGCAGAGCAGCAGGCAGAGGGAGAGGGAGAACAGGCUCCCCACUGAGCAAGGAGCCUGAUGUAGGGCUCCAUCCCAGGACCCCGGCUUAU
rnacentral:lncRNA from 12 species